rnacentral:rRNA from 1 species
UACGUAGGGUGCAAGCGUUAAUCGGAAUUACUGGGCGUAAAGCGUGCGCAGGCGGUCCGUUAAGACAGAUGUGAAAUCCCCAGGCUCAACCUGGGAACUGCAUUUGUGACUGCACGGCUGGAGUGCGGCAGAGGGGGAUGGAAUUCCGCGUGUAGCAGUGAAAUGCGUAGAUAUGCGGAGGAACACCGAUGGCGAAGGCAAUCCCCUGGGCCUGCACUGACGCUCAUGCACGAAAGCGUGGGGAGCAAACAGG